GGAACCCUUCGCUGGGCAAACGAUAGUUUCCAAACUUAAGGUUGUGGAUGAAACUUUUCGGUGCGGCUGCUGCAGGGGCCCCAGACCCGGGGUGCUGACCCGAGGCGAGGGAGCCGGCGCACGCACGCUUAGCUGCUAAGGAGCCCGCGGUGUCGGCGAAAGCUCCGGACAUGAACUUGGAAGGUCGCAGGUUAAGGGGUGUAGGCUUUGGGUUCCCCUGUGUUGUUAUGCGCCUUUGAUGGGGGUGAGGUGGUGAGGGGGAGCAAUAGGGUGGAGACAGGCAAUAGUUUCAGUCAACAGGAAGUGAGUUGUUGGCCAUUCCGUCGCCUUUGUAGCCAGUAACAAAGCACGAGACUGAAAUGGGCCCCUCCUAUCUGCUGAUCCUUACCUUCCAGGAUUUCUGAAAAACAUCUUUUUUUCCCCCUCUUACACUGAAGUUUCUGAUUGCUCUUUACGGCUCUCCACUCAAUUAUAGAGCCAUAAUUUGUAGUUUUCCAAACUCACAGUGCCUGCUGUCAGUUGCUGCAAGCUGCACAGUGGUCCUCUAAUGAUCUUUAUGUCUAUGCUCAUGCCAGGGUAAUCUUAGCCUUUUAUUGUGCCAAAGACCCCUUUGGCAAUUUGGUGAGGCCUAUUUCUCAAGCAGUGUUUUAAAAUGCAUACAAUGAAAUAUAUAGGAUUACCCAAGAAAUAAAUUAUAUUUAAAUGCUGUUAUCAAAAAUAGUAAAGGCAGUUUUGUUAUAUAACAAUAGCUUUACAUGUGGUAUAUAGUUACAGGUGUGCUUCUUUUUCAUUAAAUAACAGGAGCUAGGGCCAAGGCUAAUAAACUACCAUAACUUCAAAACAAUGAAGAAUAUAAUUAUUUGGAGAUAGCAGUGAAAACUGCACUAUGAUGAACUGAUUUUUAUUGGUAAUGUAACAGCAAAUGCUACCCUGGUUUUGCCUACAUUCAUACUUGAUGUGAAAAAAAUUAAGAGGUUUGUAUCUUUUUUCUACAGAAGUUUUUGAACCCCUUGGAUUCUGUCUAUGGACACCAAGUUAAGAAUACCUGGUAUAAAGGAAAGCCUUAUGCAUGUGGUUUCCAACCCACAGAAUUUCAGAGAUCCUCCAUGAAGUCUCAAAAAUUAUUCUCAUGGCUAGGGAACCAUCCACCUGCAUUUUUUUGCCGCGUCCUCCCGGGGACCCCAGGGCCUCAUAGCUUCUGUGGAUUGCUUUCCGGCUCCUCCUCUGGCUCCUGAACGGUCCUGCCUCUGUGCUCCAGCUGAAGCAAUGCCAUUUGUCUUUUCCCCUGCUCUCGCCAAUCCUGUCUCCAGCAGGUCCCUUUCAGGAUCUUUUUUUGUUGUUGUUAUCAGCCAGCUCCAGCAGUGAAGAAUAUAGAUUUUGAUGUCUAUGCCUGCACUCUAAUUCCACUUUGCAGCAAGCCAUGGG
rnacentral:lncRNA from 1 species